AGUCCCCUUGACUUUUUCACCCCAUUUUGAGAUGUGCGUUUUGCAAGAAUUUUUUAGGCGAUUUUUGUGUGUAUGUGUUCAUAGUUAUGGGAUUUUUGAUUUGACUUUGUAUGUUUUGAGUUUGUGGUUUCAUUUAGAAAAAACGUGCAGAGAAUAUUAGUAAUGAUAUUUCGACUAAAACUUAAGCGUGCUGUGUAGCCGAACCAACAUGAGGCAUCGUUUUCAGAAAAACUCUCCAAACAUAUUCAAGUUAUGAGUGGAUAGAGUUAAACCAAAAGGGCCCGAAGUUUUCACAGUGGACAGAAAAUAUGUCGUUUGUGAUUACCAUUGCAUUCCAAGUGAUAUCAUAUUAUAAGAAAGGAGAGAUACAACUGAUGCCACUACUGCAGCGACUGAUUUUGAUUUUUUGAUGUCUGAUGCAGCAAAUGCAGAGAUACAAAAUAUGGACAUAGCUGCUGCUGGUCCUUCUACACAGUGACUGCUGUUGGAACUUCUACACUUUUCCAGAAUAUUGCUGUCAAAAGGCGUAUAUAUAUAUACCGGGUGAUUCAAAUUCGACUUUCAUCAUUAGGAUCAAUGAGAAUGUACUUACAAAUUUUUGAUUUUCCGCCAUAUCUUCGGAAGCAAGAAAAAUAAGUUCAAUUUCAAAGCAGGAUAUUAAUGAACUCACCGAUUGCAACUUUGCCCUAGUUUAGGUCACCCUGUAUCUCUUACCGUUACCGAGAUCCUAAUGAGAACCUUUGAACAAGAUUUUAGAGAUAUUAGGACAAGCUAAUGUCACUCGUCACUUCAGAUUAGAGUAGGAACUGCCGAAAAACU